ensembl:lncRNA
CAGAGUAGGCAUGUGUUUAUUGGUGACGCACGUACACCCUGGUGCAAGGGGGAUCGCUCCACCUAACUUGUACACCAUCAGGAGAAAUCGUGCUAUAGAUAUAGAUCGAACUAAUACAUAAUCAAUAGUUGACAGGAAUUCGGAUACAUAUUCAUUACAUUCCCGAGAGCCCAUUAGCAUGCAGUCCCUCCCCCCCCUUGCGCGUGCGUAGUAGGUCAUGAUGAUGAAGGCUCAUAGUCUUCCUCGCGAAGGCUCGUAGCCUUCCUUGCUGCAAACUUCUGCCCCCAAAGGGGGGGCAUCUCCUGAACCGGUUUCAACUUGCCCUGUAGACAUCUAAUCACCUCCCUGCCAAAUGUUUUUGAGCUGCUCUCCAGUCCUUAUCUUUAUGGCCUUCAUCCUCCUUGAUAUUCCAGACCUAGUGUCUGUGAAAGUGCUUGGAAUCCCUUGUUUUCUAACACUCCUUACAUAAACUAUCUCUAUUUGCUCCUUAUUUCUACUUUGUGAAGCUACUUUCCCUUUUCUUGCUCUGAGGCCCUUCUCUCUAUAACUGCAGGGUCCUGUUCUCACUCUUCACAACCCUGAUGUAUUCUCCCCAUGGCUAAAUUUUGAGAUCCUUAUUAUAACAGCUCUUUUUUUUUGUGCCACAGAAGGAUCUUUUUCUUCACUGUGUUCAUACAUCUACUCUUUGGACAAUUUAUCAAAGUAUAUAUUUUCUGUUAACCUGUUCAUUCAUCUUAGAAAUUUUCUUUUAUCUAUCUAAUUUUCUUUUAAGUAGCUUUAAUACAGAGUAUCUGGAGGAUGUUUUUCAUUUGUAAUUCAGCAAAAUCUUAAUGCAUUCUCUGCCAUGCAUAUUUUUACUACUCUUCAGAAGCCCCAGAAAUCCAGGUCAUAGCAAUAUAUGUAUAGUGAAAGUGUGUACAUAUGCACAUUUUAUACUUUCUUAGCAACUUCUUACUAGUAUGUCUCUAAUUAUACAUUUUUUUUUUUUUUUUUUCCUAUGGGUUCUUGUCUGUCUGUUUUUUAUUUGAUUCCUUUUCAUGUUACAAGGAUUGUUCAGUUGCAUCCUGUGGGAUAGGAAAACAGUUUCUGAUGACAGUGUUCCAAAACCAAUAAAGUAUCAGCUUAGUACUCCUAUUUCUUAUCCUAGUAUUUGUAUCUAUACAUAAAAUGACUAGUGACCAUAUUUUCAUUCACCAAAAACAUACAAGCAAAACAGAAAAACAGAGGAAAGUAUACUACAGUAAACAUAUUCAAGGUCCAAGAAUUUGCCACAAACAAGGAAAAAAUCUCAGAUCUCUUAUCUCCUUUUUCUUAUCUUAAUUACACAAAUACAUGACUUGUAUAUUGCUGGUCAUCAAGGAGUGCAUAGAAUCAUAGAAUCGCUUGGGUUGGAAGGGACCUCAAGGAUCAUCAAGCUUCAGCCCACCUGCCACAUGCAGGGCCACCAACCUACAUAUCCAAUACUAGACCAGGCUGCUCAGGGCCCCAUCCAGCCUGGCCCUUAGCACCUCCAGGGAUGGGGCAUCCACAACCUCUCUGGGCAGCCUGUCUCAUAUUGCUUUGAGAAGAGUGAGGCAAUUUGAGUGCAUGCAGGAGUACCAAACAUAUUGAUGUCAUCCUGACUAUCCCAUUUCCCUUUAAUCCAGAAAGUGAUGGGAAUGUUCCAGGAUUUUUUUACAAAUGUUAUUCCUUAAAUAUAAUCCAAAUGUUUGUUAUCAUAAUGCCAUAACACUUCAUGCAGUAUAUAUCAUACUUAGUCUGGAGAAAAGCAGGCUGAGGGGAAAUCUCAUAACUCUUCCUGCCUGAAAGGUAGGAAGGAGAGUGCUGGUCUUUUUUCUUGGAUGUUAAGUGGUAGAACACAAUGAAAUAGCCUCAAGUUGUGCCAAGGGGGAUUUAGAUUGGAUAUUAAGAAGAAUCUCUUCACAGAAAUGGUGAUAAAGCAUUGGAACAGGUUGCUUAGAGAAGUGGUAGAGUUGCAUCCCUGGUAGUAUUUAAGAGAUGUGAAUUUGGCUCUUAGGGACAAAUUUUUAGUGGCAGAUUUGGUAGUAUUAGGUUGAUGGUUGGACUUGAUUUUAAAGACCUUUUCCAGACUAAUUGAUUAUGUGAUUCUAUGAUUCCAUGAAAAGGAAUGAAUAAUUCCCUCUGUGUCUUCUAGUUCUAGCUUUCUUCAUUUGGGGAGAAACACACAGCAUAUAUUGAUUAUAGAUAUUGUUCCUAGUGCAGUUGGUAAGAUAAAUUAGUGCUAAAUACAUUGUUGAUAUGGAUUCAAUUCUCCAGUUUUCGACUGGGUUACUUACUUGAGAGAAAAAUCUCAGUAAACAGAACUGUUUUCUUGUUUGGGUUCACCUCACUGCUAAAUCUUGAGGCUUUGUAAAGUGUAAUGAACUGUUAAUUUGCAGACUAUAAUGGAUUUACUUUGUUUCCUAUAGCUCACAAUAAGGCAGAGAAAGUUGCACGUUAAUCACAUAACUGUUACUUUACUAAUGCUUUUUUCCCCGUAUUUUAAAUGUGGAAGUAUUUUGCAAUGACUACAGCUAUUAAAAAAAAAAAGAAAAAAAAAAAAGAAAUUAUCAUAAAAUAGGAACAGAUCAAGUUUAUAUCCAAUUUAUUACUAUUUUAUCCUGAGGGACUGAGAUUUUAGUCUACAUUAAAAAUGUUUUAAAUAUUGUGUAGAGGGAAAAGUAUUUAAGGUCCCAGUUCACCAAUCCGUCCCUUUCAGCAAAACACUAAAAAACAUUUGAUUCCUAUUAACUUUAAUGGGUUUAAGCAUGUUUAAAUUUAAUGGACCUAAAGUUGUAACAAAUCAGUGGAUCUAAGGCAGUUUUUUUCUUCUGCAUCUAUUCUUGCCAGACAGAAUCCUGAGCAGUUCACAUAACAGUAAGUUCUAAAAGUCCUCAUGGGGCAAUGUGAGCUUUGUAACUCCUAUCAAUUAUUAUUAUUAUUUUAAUUUAAGGUAGCAGACAGACUUUCUAUUCUAGCUUUUUGGACUGAGAUGAGGCUUUUGGGAGUGAACAAGAUGAAUUAUCCAGUGAAUCCAUCUUGCAUUACUUUGAAUGGAACUUAUUGUCUGAAUGAAGGAAUAUCUCUUCUACGCCACGUGGAUGAUCAAAAUAUUCUUUUUCCAUAAAGGUCUAAAAAUGCUCGGGUUUCAGGCUGAAAUUUGGUGCUUUCUGAGACAUAAAAGGUCAAAAUUUUAGUUAUCAUUUCUUUCAAUAGCAUCAACAUAACAAGAGGCUUUAAAGUGCAACAGUGAUUCUGGUCUGGCCUUAGAUCUAACAGAAGUUACAGAAAACAUUUUUCCACUUUUAGGUUGGUCGUUUUUUUGUUGGUGGUGGUGGAUGUUUUUUUUUUUUUUGUUUGGUUGGUUGGUUUUGUUUGUUUGUUUUUGCUUUUGCUUUUUGUUUUUGUUUUCCUUCUGUCAUGGUUUUAUGAUUUUUGUUAUUGGUAUUCCACAUCAUAACAUCAUGUAAAGCACUGGGAGUUAAAGAGUUAAUGCCUCACUUCAGUGGACUGCUGAUUUUCCAGAUACCUGGUUCUUAGAAAAGAACUACAUACCCAAAGGACUUUGCAUCCAGAAGGAAAGAUAGAACUCCUGGCAAGUCAUGAGACUGGUCUCUUUCUCUUUCUCAUUGCCUGGCAGUGUGUGUGCUCCCCAGCCAUUUUGCCUUCAAUUCAGAUGCCCAAAACUUCAUUCUGUACUUGAGAUGAAACUGCACGAGCACACCUUUAGACUGACCUGUCAGCCAGUUGUAUUAUGUUGGAUUGCCGAGGUUAGCUGCCUCGGAGCUGUCCCAGCCAGAACCACAGCAACUGAUCAUGAGGGCAACGGCUCUGCAUCCACGCCCCCUGCCUAGAAAAAGCUUUGGGGAGGCACCCAGACAGAGAGGAGUCAGUGUGUGAAUCAUGUGGGCCGUUCAGAAGAGGUGAAACGGCACCAAAGUAAAAUUGAAAUACCUAAAGCUCUUUGAAGAAAAGCAGAAUUUCUUAUCAGUAUUUGUUUAUACCUGGGAAGAAAAGGAAAGCUAUUUGUCACCCAGUAUUCAAGAUGACUCUUACUGCCUUAAAUUAAAUAAGUAUAUGAAAAUAUUAUUAAAUUAAUGUGUAGUUAAUUUUGCUUGGCUGAUUUUAAGGAAGUAAUCCUUGGUACCCAAAACUAUGAAGAUCUUCUGUUCUCAGCAGGAAAGCAGUUACUUUUCAUGCAUAUGCAAAGCACAGCAUAACAAAAGACCUCAUGAUCCCAUAACAACUUAUCCCGUAUGAAUAAACAUUAUUAAGCUGUAAUCUUUACUACAUGUUGUUCUUUAACAUGCUUUUGUUUUAGACUGCCUUAGAAGAUAAUGUUCUCUCAUUUGUUAGGCUAGAAUUCAGACACCUUAAGUAAUUUUUUAAUUUUCUUUUUAUUUUUUCCCUCCUUUUUUUUUUUUUUUUUUUUUUUCCCAUUUACAGAUUUGUCUGCUUGCAAGUUUAUGCCUUCAUCAGUUCCAUAUUUUCUGCUUACACAGAUACAUUUGAAUGUGGAAAAUUUAGACCUGCCAUUUUUUAUUUCAGAGAGAAUAGUUUAGGGGAAUGACAAUGCAAUAAAAGGUAAUGGACAGGUGAGAGAUGGAAGAACUGUCACAUUGACAGUAAUUUUAGUCUUUUCUCUCAGGCUUAUUUGCUUCUCAUGAUGCAUAACUGCAGGAGUUAUGUAAAUAUUUUAAUCAGGUAACAAAUACUGAUUGAAUUACAUAGUGGGACUGAUAUAAUGGGACUUAAGCUGGAUUUGUGGUGAUUUUUCUGGUGAUUAUUUUCUACAUAUUCAUCAGUGUCUUUAAAUCUAAAGUAUCUUUCAAAAAAUUUUAAAGCUUUUAAAGAACCUGAAAAUGCUUGCAAAACACCUGGGAGAAAUAAUGAUUUAUUCCACUGAAUUUUUGCAGUGUUUUAUAGUGUUUCAUUCCAUAAGAUUAGAAUAGACAUCUACUCCAAAUUUAGGAGAUGUCUUUUUACAAGAAUGAUAAAAACCAUGCCUACAAACCCAGGCCUUGUAUUCCCGGAAGCUUAUCUCAGAACAUAAACACCAGUAACAAACUGCUUGUCAAUAUUGUACAAAGAAGAAAUAGAAAGGUAUAACUGUACCAGUGCAUAAGUUGAUGGUAUAACUGCACCAAUGGGCAAGGGAAAAGCCAUUGAUAUAAUUUAUUUGGACUAUUGUAAGGCCUUCAAUGGGGUCCUACAAAUCAUCCUUCUCUCCAAAUUGGAAAGAUAUGGAUUUAAUAUGUGGACUGUUCAAUAAACGAGGAAUUGGUUUGAAGAUUGUACCCAGAGAAUGAUGGUCAGUAGCUCAAUGUCUAGAUGGAGAUUGGUGGUGAGUGGUCUCUCUCAGGAAUCAUUACUGUGACUGAUGCUCUUUAUUGUCUUCAUCAGUUACGUUGACAGUAAGAUCGAAUACAUCCUCAGCAAGUUUGCAUGCGACACCAAGCUGUGUGGUGCAAUAGACACAGAUCAGGACAGGAUGACAUCCAGAGAGGCCUAGACAGGCUCAAUCAGUGGGUCCAGAAGAACAUCAUGAGGUUCAACAAAGCCAAGUGCAGGGUCUUGUACCUGGGUCAUGGCACCCCCUGCUAUCAAUACAAGCUACAGGAUGUAAAGGUGGAGGUCAGCCCUGCCAAUAAAGCCCUGGUGAUAAUGGAUAAUGUGCUGGAUAUGAGCCAGCAAUGUACCCUCACAGCCCAGGCAGUCAAUCAUAUCCUGGGUUGCAUCAAACAGACAAGUGAGUUGAACUUGCUCCUAUACUGUGCAAUAGUGAGACCUCACCUGGAGUACUGUGUCCUGAUGUGAAGCCCGCAGUACAGGAGAGACAUGGACCUGCUGGAGCACAAUUUCAUUCAUAAUUUCCUUCUUGAUCUAUAGAAAUGAAAGUCAACUAUUCUUUCACAUUCUGUGAAACUGAUGGAAAGAACAGUCUACCCCAUUCUUCUGUAGUUUACUUUUUUUGGUACACAUCACUUAUUUUAAGGAGACUCCAAAGAACAAUUUUGUAAUUUUAUUACCAGAACAUUUUUGUAACAGUUGAUGGAGUACUAGAAGUUAUUGUGUUGCUGAUGCUGAUAUAUAUAUAUUUUUUUUCAAUAACAUUUUUCAAAUGCAUUUCCUUCGGUAAUUUUACUAAGCAAUUUUUUAAAAUUCAC